GACGGACGCUGGCGGCGUGCCUAAUACAUGCAAGUUGAGCGCUGAAGGUUGGUACUUGUACCAACUGGAUGAGCAGCGAACGGGUGAGUAACGCGUGGGGAAUCUGCCUUUGAGCGGGGGACAACAUUUGGAAACGAAUGCUAAUACCGCAUAAAAACUUUAAACACAAGUUUUAAGUUUGAAAGAUGCAAUUGCAUCACUCAAAGAUGAUCCCGCGUUGUAUUAGCUAGUUGGUGAGGUAAAGGCUCACCAAGGCGAUGAUACAUAGCCGACCUGAGAGGGUGGACGGCCACAUUGGGACUGAGACACGGCCCAAACUCCUACGGGGAGCAGCAGUAGGGAAUCUUCGGCAAUGGACGAAAGUCUGACCGAGCAAAGCCGCGUGAGGGAAGAAGGUUUUCGGGUCGUAAAACUCUGUUGGUAGAGAAGAACGUUGGUGGGAGUGGAAAGCUCAUCAAGUGACGGUAACUACCCAGAAAGGGACGGCUAACUACGUG
rnacentral:rRNA from 1 species